AUUGAACGCUGGCGGCAUGCCUUACACAUGCAAGUCGAACGGUAACGGGCCUUCGGGUGCCGACGAGUGGCGAACGGGUGAGUAAUACAUCGGAACGUGCCCGAUCGUGGGGGAUAACGAGGCGAAAGCUUUGCUAAUACCGCAUACGAUCUACGGAUGAAAGCAGGGGACCGCAAGGCCUUGCGCGGACGGAGCGGCCGAUGGCAUAUUAGGUAGUUGGUGGGAUAAAAGCUUACCAAGCCGACGAUCUGUAGCUGGUCUGAGAGGAUGAUCAGCCACACUGGGACUGAGACACGGCCCAGACUCCUACGGGAGGCAGCAGUGGGGAAUUUUGGACAAUGGGCGCAAGCCUGAUCCAGCCAUGCCGCGUGCAGGAUGAAGGCCUUCGGGUUGUAAACUGCUUUUGUACGGAACGAAAAGCCUUCUUUUAAUACAGGAGGGUCAUGACGGUACCGUAAGAAUAAGCACCGGCUAACUACGUG
rnacentral:rRNA from 1 species